GACGAACGCUGGCGGCGUGCUUAACACAUGCAAGUCGAACGGAAAGGCCCUGCUUUUGUGGGGUGCUCGAGUGGCGAACGGGUGAGUAACACGUGAGUAACCUGCCCUUGACUUUGGGAUAACUUCAGGAAACUGGGGCUAAUACCGGAUAGGAGCUCCUGCUGCAUGGUGGGGGUUGGAAAGUUUCGGCGGUUGGGGAUGGACUCGCGGCUUAUCAGCUUGUUGGUGGGGUAGUGGCUUACCAGGGCUUUGACGGGUAGCCGGCCUGAGAGGGUGACCGGCCACAUUGGGACUGAGAUACGGCCCAGACUCCUACGGGAGGCAGCAGUGGGGAAUAUUGCACAAUGGACGGAAGCCUGAUGCAGCAACGCCGCGUGCGGGAUGACGGCCUUCGGGUUGUAAACCGCUUUCGCCUGUGACGAAGCGUGAGUGACGGUAAUGGGUAAAGAAGCACCGGCUAACUACGUG
rnacentral:rRNA from 1 species